AGAGAUGUGUGAUGACGCAUAUCAAUAAGCGGAGGAAAAGAAACUAACAAGGAUUCCCUUAGUAACGGCGAGUGAAGCGGGAAGAGCUCAAAUUUGAAAUCUUCAAGGUUCUACCUUGACGAAUUGUAGUUUAUAGAAGUGUUUUCUGUUAGUAGAGUGGCAAAAGUUCUUUGGAAUAGGACAUCAUAGAGGGUGAGAAUCCCGUAUUUGGAUCAUUUCUUUCCUAGCUUUGUGAUACACUUUCAAAGAGUCGGAUUGUUUGGGAAUGCAGUCCAAAAUGGGAUGGUAAAUUUCAUCUAAAGCUAAAUAUUGGCGAGAGACCGAUAGCGAACAAGUACCGUGAGGGAAAGAUGAAAAGAACUUUGAAAAGAGAGUUAAACAGUACGUGAAAUUGUCAAAAGGGAAGCGUUUGACACCAGUGUUGUUUUUCCGAAAAUCAAUUACGAAUGUUUUAUUUUUGAGAAGUUAUGACUUCAUCGGCUUGCUUCUCUCUUUAUGAAACUUUCUUAAUGCACUUUUCGGUUAACAAGUCAACAUCAAUUUCUUUUGUUGUAAAAGGGUAUGAGGAGGGUGGCUUUCUUUUCGGAGAAAGUGUUUAUAGCCUUGUACCUCUGCAAUCGGAGAGAUUGAGGUCUGCAGCGUAGAUCCUUCGGGGUUAGAUACAUUUGUGCUAAGUUAUAGCUUUUCAUAGACAACUUGUUGACUAUGUUAAGUCUUGUAGCUUACUCGCUUAUGCUAUUUUACCUACGCUUAGGAUGUUGAAGAUGUAGCACAUCAU
rnacentral:rRNA from 1 species